rnacentral:rRNA from 1 species
CGUAGUCUGAAUUGCCCAGCAAUGGCCUUGUGUAUAAUUACGUUCACUGUGAACAAAUCAGGACGCUUAGAGUAUGGUUACAGGAAUGACUCAGCGCAGUAUGAUAUCUUUGUUUUUUUCGGAAAACAAGCUCAAAGAGAGCCAUCGGGGGUAGAUCUAUCCCAUGACGAGUGGUGGAAUACGGUGACUCAUGGGAGAGAAUCGGAGGCGAAGGCGUCUACCUAGAGGGUUUCUGUCGAUCAAGGGCGAGAGUAGGAGUAUCCAACAGGAUUAGAGACCCUGGUAGUUCCUACUGUAAACGAUGCCGACAGGAGUUUGUCAUUUGCUAAUGGCAGAAUCUUUAGAGAAAUCAUAGUUCUUGGGCUCUGGGGGAACUACGACCGCAAGGCUGAAACUUGAAGGAAUUGACGGAAGGGCACACCAGGGGUGGAGCCUGUGGCUUAAUUUGAAUCAACACGGGGAAACUUACCAGGACCAGAUGUUUUUUAUGACUGACAGGCUUAAGGUCUUUCAGGAUAUGAUUUUUGGUGGUGCAUGGCCGUUGGUGGUGCGUGGGUUG